GGGGGGGGGGGCUCGUGUGGGUGACGAGACUGAGGCAUUUCCCUUUCCGCGACUUCAGGAGACGAAGCGACCGCUGUAUACAUGGGAGGGUCUUCGUCGGCCGUGUUCUGGAGCAGUAUACCUUUUCCAAACCGGUCGGUGAGAGGCGGAACCAGAAGCGAUGCUGCACGUCCUUUCGCCCACACGAAAGGCCGACGCCUUAUUUCUUCGUGAAUAAAAA